rnacentral:rRNA from 1 species
GACGAACCGAGCGAACGUUGUUCGGAAUCACUGGGCUUAAAGGGCGCGUAGGCGGGCUGUCAAGUCCGGGGUGAAAUCUUUCGGCUUAACCGGAAAAGUGCCUUGGAUACUGAUGGUCUCGAGGGAGGUAGGGGCAGCUGGAACUUCCGGUGGAGCGGUGAAAUGCGUUGAUAUCGGAAGGAACUCCGGUGGCGAAAGCGAGCUGCUGGACCUCUUCUGACGCUGAGGCGCGAAAGCUAGGGGAGCAAACGGG